UGGUUCUGGCAUCGAUGAAGAACGCAGCGAAAUGCGAUAAGUAAUGUGAAUUGCAGAAUUCAGUGAAUCAUCGAAUCUUUGAACGCACAUUGCGCCCCUUGGUAUUCCGGGGGGCAUGCCUGUUCGAGCGUCAUUUCAACCCUCAAGCUCAGCUUGGUAUUGGGCCUCCGCCGGUCACACGGCGGGCCUUAAAAUCAGUGGCGGCGCCGUUGGGUCCUGAACGUAGUAAUAUACCUCUCGUUACAGGGUCCCCGCGUGCUCCUGCCGUUAAACCCCCAAUUUUCUAUGGUUGACCUCGGAUCAGGUAGGGAUACCCGCUGA
rnacentral:misc_RNA from 1 species